rnacentral:rRNA from 1 species
CUACGGGUCGCAGCAGAGGGGAAUAUUGGGCAAUGGGCGCAAGCCUGACCCAGCAACGCCGCGUGAGGGAAGAAGGUUUUCGGAUUGUAAACCUCUGUCCUUGGGGACGAAGAAGUGACGGUACCCAAGGAGGAAGCUCCGGCUAACUACGUGCCAGCAGCCGCGGUAAUACGUAGGGAGCAAGCGUUGUCCGGAAUUACUGGGCGUAAAGGGUGCGUAGGCGGCAUAUUAAGUCAGGUGUGUAAUACUCGGGCUCAACCCGGGGGCUGCAUUUGAAACUGAUAUGCUUGAGUGUGAGAGAGGAAAGUGGAAUUCCUAGUGUAGCGGUGGAAUGCGUAGAUAUUAGGAGGAACACCAGUGGCGAAGGCGACUUUCUGGCUCAUAACUGACGCUGAGGCACGAAAGCGUGGGGAGCAAACAGGAUUAGAUACCGGGGUAGUC